rnacentral:rRNA from 1 species
AGAGCGAACGUUAGCGGCGCGCCUAACACAUGCAAGUCGCACGAGAAAGGGCCUCGGCCCCGGUACAGUGGCGCACGGGUGAGUAACACGUGGGGGACCUUCCCGGAGUGGUGGAUAACCUGCCGAAAGGCGGGCUAAGACAGCAUACGAGGUCGGCAUCAAGGUGCCGCCCUGAAAGCAGGCCUCUCUUCAGAAGCCUGCGCUCCGGGAUGGCCCCGCGUCCCAUCAGCUAGUUGGUGAGGUAACGGCUCACCAAGGCGACGACGGGUAGCUGGCUUGAGAGAGCGACCAGCCACACUGGGACUGAGACACGGCCCAGACUCCUACGGGAGGCAGCAGUGAGGAUUUCCGCAAUGGGCGAAAGCCUGACGGAGCGACGCCGCGUGUGGGAUGAAGGCCUUCGGGUCGUAACCACUGUCGAAGGGGAGAUAUUGACGGUACCCUUGGAGGAAGCCCCGGCUAACCGUACGUGCCAGCGAGCCGC